AAAAAAGAAUAAAAAAAAACUUGUUGGUUCACUAGCUAUAACUUUGUUCCUACGCUUAUGUAUUUGUUCUGGCCUAGUUGAAUAAGCAUUCGAUCCUUUUACUUCUUUGCUUUAUUAGCUAAGCUAUAGGGAAAGUGGGAAACCAAACCUGUUUAUGUUAAUUUCUUCGUUUCAGGAAUGGAUGUGAAGCACCCGGCAGCAAUGGCAAAGACACCACGCGCGAUUGUCCCAGCUAUGGAGAAGCUCAGCUAUGGCAAUAUUUACGAGAAGAAGAAGAGAUUGACAAAUGAUCAGUCAGAGUCACUGGAGAGAAGCUUUCAAGAGGAGAUUAAGUUGGACCCUGAUAGGAAAAUGAAGCUGUCUCGUGAGCUAGGGCUGCAGCCUAGGCAGAUUGCAGUUUGGUUCCAGAAUAGACGUGCUAGAUGGAAAGCUAAGCAGCUUGAACGCUUAUAUGAUGAACUUAAGCAGGAGUUUGACGUUGUCUCUGUAGAAAAACAGAAGCUUCAAGAAGAGGUUAUGAAACUGAAAGGUAUCCUCCAGGAACAAGCCACCAAGAAGCAAGUGUCAAAAGGCUACACGGACAUCUCCGGCGAAGAGACGGUGGAAAGCACAUGGGUUGGAAUUCGCAGCUCUGGUGAGAAGCCACGAGGAACAAGUCAUCAGCACCAGAUUGCAGAAUGCAACUAUCAUCUGAAUGUUGAUGAAUAUAACCCAGUAACAUCACCUUACUGGGCUGUUCUUCCAUCUUAUCCUUAAUUACUAGGCUCUUGCUAGUUGUUGCUUAUACUUCUUAAUUAAUAUUAUUAGAGUAAUUAAUUAGUUUAGCCUAGCAAGUAUCUACGUUUAUUAUAAUAUAUAAAUGCUUAAGAAAAUGUUGGUAUUAUUAGCCCUAGUGAUGAAGAAAUGAAGAUGCAUUGCUCUUGCUAUUUAGCUAAAUGUAUUAGCAUAAAAUAAUUGGAUUAUCCCUUCUAAUAUGUGUGGAGGACAUUUUGAAAUCUUAGAUUAUCCGCAUAAAUGUUAUCACCUUAACUAUUAUGCAUGAUGCUAGGGCAUUUUGAAAUCAU
rnacentral:misc_RNA from 1 species